UACGGAGGGUGCAAGCGUUGUUCGGAAUCACUGGGCGUAAAGGGCGUGUAGGCGGUCCGCUAAGUCUGAUGUGAAAGCCCGAGGCUUACCCUCGGAAGUGCAUUGGAGACUGGCGGACUGGAGUCCCGGAGAGGAGGGUGGAAUUCCUGGUGUAGCAGUGAAAUGCGUAGAUAUCGAGAGGAACACCAGUGGCGAAGGCGAGUCCCUGGACAACACCUGACACUGAGGCACGAAAGCUAGGGGAGCAAACAGG
rnacentral:rRNA from 1 species